GUCACUCCAGACUCAGAUUCGGAAAGAAGCAAAGCAAGCGAGAGGAAAACUGGAUGUCCUGGAUCCAAAGCUCCGUAUUACCGUGGAUCUUCUCCUCUGAUCUGGAAAGCUUCACAGGCCAAAAGAGAAUUGAGAUGAAGAAGGAAAUAGAGAAUGCUGACCAAUAUUGCCAAGUGCCACCCGUAUGAGGUGCAGAAGAACACUGCAAGCAGCUGAAGCCGUAUCAGACACAUGCUUCUGCUAGGAAGUCAUUCCGAGUGAUUCCACGGUGUACUUUAGACAGGUUUGCUCUGGUCCUCUGGACUCAGCAUCCCCAAGGG